AAGCGUCUGCAGUGCGCGCCGGGCUUUAUAUUUCCUUGAACCAAUGCUCAUAGAGCCCGGGCUUGGUACAUUGCGUGGCUGGUGCGAGCGUCUCGCGUCAGACGAACCCGAAGCCACGCUGCCCUCGCCCACCUGAACCCCGGUUCAGGAUGCCGGUCCGGCGGCACUUGCAGACACCCU
rfam:Hydrogenophaga sp. IBVHS1 contig000001, whole genome shotgun sequence.